UCCCAUACAAAACCUCAAUCUCCAUGAGAAGCUUCUACCGCUUCACGCUUUCACAUACCAACCUCGAUUCCUCAACAAUUCAUUAAUUUCCAUUUUUCAAAACCUGAUUCAUGAAUUCAUCCAUAAUUUCAGAUGCUUCUCACAGCCGAAUUGCAUUUAUUUUCAUCAAUGAUUUAUAUUUUCCAACUAAUGAUUUACGUUUUAGGGUUUUUCUUCUAUUCAAGAGAAAGUGCUUCCAAUCCAAUUCAAAUUUACUACUUCCAACCAUGGAGAAAAAAAUAUUCAUUCAAGAAUCUUCAUAGCAGAUAACAUUACGGUCACAAGAAGAAGGUGCAUCUUUGGGUUGCAAUUAAAUUGGCACAUAACUUGCAGUUGCUUCUGUUGAUCAAACUGCUCGAAUCUGAUUGUUCCAUUGUUGCUUGGAGAAUGGAGCUGAUGUUAAUUCAAAAAAUUAUUCUCGCCAGAUGCUAAAGUUGGGAACUCUCCUUAGCAACCUCAACCUAAUAGUUACAUAUCUAAAGCUGCUUCAGAGAGUAAAUUUAAUUUCAAGCUUUAGCUUUAUGAAUAUCGCAAAAUAAUUGAGGUCUACUUUGAUAUUUCUUGGAAAUUUGUAUUUCUGUUAACAAUAUUGGCUUAAAAGCUCCAGUUUGGAAUUUCUGUCAUUGUUUCACUUUCUUUUUGGUGAUAAAGCGCAAGAAGUAGCAGAGCUGCGCGAGAAAGGAGGUACUUUGAAAGUUCCUCUACAAUUUGCCAAUGUAUCAAGGUCUGAUUUACAAAGUUCAAUGGAUGGAUGUUCUGCUUCCAUUCAUGAAUACAAAAUCCCGCCUAAAGCUCUUCUCAGAUUUCAUUCCUAUUGUCAUGUUUACUUUGGUGCUUUCCAUUCGGUCAUUGCUGAUACACAUGUUCACAUCAGUCUACAAAAUAUUUAUGAAUGAGCUCUUAUGUCUCUAGCGAAUCAGCUCUUAUGUCUCUAAAAUAUAUUUAUGAGAUUCCACUGGUUUGUUCAGACAUGUCUAAAUAAUUAUUUAAAUUUGGCAUUUAAAUCCUUAUAGCACUUUAACCUUGGUGAGUUUUAACACACGUCGUCGUUCCUGAUGGCAGCUGAUGCAUUCAUGUUAUAUUACCACCACUAUAAUGAAAAAGCAUCGACCUAUUCCUCUAGCUUUGGCAUAUUGCACUCGGUAGUUUGAAGGCAUGUCUGCCACAAGAGAAUCAUUUGCAGCACUUAAAAAACUAAGAGAGGGCAAUUUUGAUUCUUCUUUACCCAGGACAUCCAAAGUGAUUCUUCCCAAAUACUACAUGGUGUUUCUGA